ensembl:lncRNA
AGUAAGACAUCCGUGCCCCCACCUCCUGGCGCCAGCGCUGGCCAAUCAGAUUAGCUGCUCCGGGGAAACUAAGGCCGCAGAGGAGGUUGCAGACGCUCCCUUUGUAACGCUUCUGCCAACGGGGAGGACGUUCCAUCUGUCUGGUCAGAGAAAGGACUUGGGCAGAGAAGAGGGUCCCUCCACAGGCCAGUUCAGGUUGUCUGAUAAAUCUCCAGAGUCUGAUGGACCCAGGAAGUGAUCCUAAGAGGUUCAGGGCUGCACGACUGUCCUUCCCACCUCACAGAUGAGGAAACCGAGGCGCCGGAAGGUUAAUGACUUAUCCGAGGCCACUUGUCACAGCGCAAGUCCGUGGAGGAACUGGGGUGGAAGCCAGCAUGAUGUGCAGAGACCACAGUCAGACGCGACGCUGAGCCCAUUUCAAACGCCCUCUCAGAAACGUUGUCAGAGGGUGAUUCUCCCAGUAAAGCCAACAGGGAAGAAACGGGGACAGGGAAAAGCUCAAGGCACCUGAGUGCAAACCCCUGCUUCUCCUCAGACAAGCUGUGUGACUUCAGGCGAAUCAGCGGUGUUGGCGAGACCUCUGUUUCUUUCCCUCCAAAGCAGGAGGAAAGACUUCCCCAUAAGGCUGUAACGAGACAGUGUAAGUUAAGUGCUUGGCGCCAGUAGAAACACUCUACCCAGUAGCUGUUGUGACUUUGCUGUUAUGCCCCCUCUCCCCACCGUGAAAUGUAGCCACUUCGUUAUUUAUAGUUCCUCCGAACCAAACAGAGACAGCAAACCAAAGACAGGAAGUUCCUCCCUGACCCUGUCUGCCUCCUCAAGAAGGGAGCCGCUGUCCCAGAUGUGUUUGGACCAGGCUGGUGGCACCUCUCAGGGGUGUUGGGGGAGGGGCUUCCACUUUGGGUGGGAAUGGGUUUGGUGACUUCUUAAAAUCUCUUUCAACUCCAAGAUUCUAUUUAGAACCCAGGUCAACCCAGGCUCUCACCCCUUAUGCAUUCUCCACAACGAAACCCAAACAGAUUUCCCAGGGGGGAAACGCAGGAGAGAUGGUACCCAGCACCCCUUGCAACACACCUCCUCUGCAUGCCCAUCCCCCGAGUUUCCAUUCUCCCAUGCUGCCCCUGGUAGUCUUCCUCUUCCAAACUCCCCUGCAGAUGCUCCAUUUCUUUCUGUUGGGUCAAGCAAUGCAGCUGUGCCCUCUAACAUGUCUGCCCCAGCCAGGUCAACCAUAGCAGCUGACAGGCUCCACCCUCCCCAGCAGGCAGUGUAGAGACCGUCCACUCUUCCUGGAGCAUGGCCCCUGGGGCCUUACUCCACAACCAAAGAGACUUAGCACAGAAUCCGUUUCCUCUACACACAGAACUUUUUCCAAGAGGAACUCCUAUAACAGAAUUUUCUCCAUCUUUUUGCAUACAAUUUAAUGAUUUCAGCCUCCAGUUCCAAGAGCUUGUAUUACCUCCUUGUAAAACAAACUAUGCCAACAAAUAUUUAUAUUCAUAUAUUUUUUAAAUGCCUCUGCAUUUUUUAUCUAUU